rnacentral:lncRNA from 10 species
CAAACAAAUAAGAAGAAACUCAUCAGCAAAGGCCCCAUGGAAUAUCUGCAAUACCCUGAAGACCAUGAUGUUCAGCAGCAACAAGGAAGUGCCACAAGAAAGCAUAACCAUUGAUCAUUGACAAAAUGACUUGGCUCUAUCUGGAUUUAUGUAAGAAAUCCUUUUGUAAGGAUCUUUGCAAAUUUUCCUUGCUUAACCAAGGAAUUUAGAAGAACAGAAAAAGUAGUGGAGUCAAAUAAAUUCCAGAACACGAAUAGUAGACAUUGUAGAAUCAGAAAUAGUAGAGAUUAAUACCUUUCCUCUCCAUCAUGAGGGGCAUGGCCAACAUUCAUAACAAAAUGAGAGCAGCAGGAGGUAGACAAAUGCCUAAGUAGACAGAGGAAGGUCCCGAGUGAAACCCCACCUUCAAUCCAAAAUCAGCCCGAGACCUGCAACCUAGAGUGAGAUCUUCUAUUCCUGUUUGCCUGCUCUUUCCCAAUUGGUUCUUUCUGAAUAAUGCUUUUAAACUAACCAAAAGUUACCUAUUCCAAUGCUACC